rnacentral:rRNA from 1 species
UACGUAGGGGGCUAGCGUUGUCCGGAAUCAUUGGGCGUAAAGAGCGUGUAGGCGGUCCGGUAAGUCCGCUGUGAAAGUCGGGGGGCUCAACCCUCGAAUGCCGGUGGAUACUGUCGGGCUAGAGUGCGGAAGAGGCGAGUGGAAUUCCUGGUGUAGCGGUGAAAUGCGCAGAUAUCAGGAGGAACACCUAUUGCGAAGGCAGCUCGCUGGGACGUAACUGACGCUGAGACGCGAAAGCGUGGGGAGCGAACAGG